CCUCCUUAGAGCCAAGAUCAGAGGCGUUUCAUGCGAAGGGAAUGGCAAGUAUUCGAGUCCUGAGUGAAGUGCCCAGCGGGAGAUGAAGGCCACUUCCCACAGGCAGUUCUGGGGGCUCUGGCCCCUUGCCCUUGCCUUCCACACACCCUUUCUCCAGGUGAGAAGACUGAAAAAUGCCAGUACUAUCUGUAGCGAAAUGAUCAAAGGAGGUGUCCUUAAGACUCCUGAAGGAGCGCUGGAGAUUGGAAGGACAACACAAGUGUUUGGUGAUCUGGUCAAUAAAGAGCCAACUGGCUGGAUGUUUGGAGCCCACCUGCUUUUCUCCAGUUGUAAAGAAGAAAACUGCUGAAGGCUUGAG
ensembl:lncRNA